CCUACGGGGGGCUGCAGUGGGGAAUAUUGCACAAUGGGGGAAACCCUGAUGCAGCGACGCCGCGUGAGUGAAGAAGUAUUUCGGUAUGUAAAGCUCUAUCAGCAGGGAAGAAAUAGCGACCUUUGGGUCGCCAGACGGUACCUGACUAAGAAGCCCCGGCUAACUACGUGCCAGCAGCCGCGGUAAUACGUAGGGGGCAAGCGGUAUCCGGAUUUAAUGGGUGGAAAGGGAGCGUAGACGGCAGCACAAGUACUAAGUGAAAUGCCGGGGCUUAACCCCGGAACUGCUUUGGAAACUGUGCAGCUAGAGUGCAUGAGAGGUAAGUGGAAUUCCUAGUGUAGCGGUGAAAUGCGUAGAUAUUAGGAGGAACACCAGUGGCGAAGGCGGCUUACUGGACUGUAACUGACGUUGAGGCUCGAAAGCGUGGGGAGCAAACAGGAUUAGAUACCCGUGUAGUC
rnacentral:rRNA from 1 species